GUGCAGCAGCCGCGGKAAUACGUAGGUGCGAGCGUUGUCCGGAAUUAUUGGGCGUAAAGGGCUCGUAGGCGGUCCGUCGCGUCGGGAGUGAAAACUCAGGGCUUAACCCUGAGCCUGCUUCCGAUACGGGCGGACUAGAGGUAGGUAGGGGAGAACGGAAUUCCUGGUGUAGCGGUGGAAUGCGCAGAUAUCAGGAGGAACACCGAUGGCGAAGGCAGUUCUCUGGGCCUUACCUGACGCUGAGGAGCGAAAGCGUGGGGAGCGAACAGGAUUAGAUACCCUGGUAGUCCACGCCGUAAACGUUGGGCGCUAGGUGUGGGACUCAUUCCACGAGUUCCGUGCCGCAGCUAACGCAUUAAGCGCCCCGCCUGGGGAGUACGGCCGCAAGGCUAAAACUCAAAGGAAUUGACGGGGGCCCGCACAAGCGGCGGAGCAUGCGGAUUAAUUCGAUGCAACGCGAAGAACCUUACCUGGGUUUGACAUAUGCCGUUUACCCGUAGAGAUGCGGGGUCAUUUAGGUGGCGGUAUACAGGUGGUGCAUGGCUGUCGUCAGCUCGUGUCGUGAGAAGUUGGGUUAAGUCCCGCAACGAGCGCAACCCUCGUCCUAUGUUGCCAGCACGUGAUGGUGGGAACUCAUAGGAGACUGCCGGGGUCAACUCGGAGGAAGGUGGGGAUGACGUCAAGUCAUCAUGCCCCUUAUGUCCAGGGCUUCACGCAUGCUACAAUGGCCGGUACAAAGGGCUGCGAUGCCGCAAGGUGGAGCGAAUCCCAAAAAGCCGGUCUCAGUUCGGAUUGGGGUCUGCAACUCGACCCCAUGAAGUCGGAGUCGCUAGUAAUCGCAGWUCAGCAACGCUGCGGUGAAUACGUUCCCGGGCCUUGUACACACCGCCCGUCACGCUCACGAAAGUCGGCAACACCCGAAGCCGGUGGCCUAACCCCUUGUGGGAUGGAGCCGUCGAAGGUGGGGCUGGCGAUUGGGACGAAGCCGUAACAAGGUAACC
rnacentral:rRNA from 1 species